GUUAGCCUUUUGCUUGAGACAGGAAAAGGAAUAAGGAGAAACUGCAGCAGUUAAAUGGGUGAAAUCACUGACCAGGACACAUUAAACUGUACUACAAGCCGCAGACACAUGACAACAUAAACAGGAGGAGAAAGGCUUCGUGGUCGCUGACAGUGUCGGCCUGAGACGUCGGGUUACCGUCCACCUGCUGUUGGCACCGUGAAGACUUUCACCUGAGAUGUUGACUCCACAUAAAUACUGUCUACAUUUCUACUGCUUCCCAACCCCACUGCUGAAAAUUGGAUGUUGCGGAUGACUUGAUCUCCCAAGAUGCCUUGCAGACAGCUCUCUGCCUCAUUUAGCCUGCAGGAUGAAGAUGGUGUGUUUAAAACAUGAAGGAACUCUAAGGAACCAUGAGGCAAUAAUCCUACUUUUUUGAACUGCCAAAAAAGAUCAGCAAGUGCAAAAUCCCAAAGGCUGUGAGUA